rnacentral:lncRNA from 1 species
GGCAGAGGCUGGGCAGGCCUGAGGACGGAAACCAACGCCUACCGCGGAGGGCUGCCCGCUCUUUCCCUCGGGAACACCAACACCUGUCUCCAAAUAUGCAAAUGGAGAGACACGACCCGAAAAUAGGUCAACUACCUUUAUCUUAGAAAAAAGAAUCUUCGCGAAAUGAAAAAGAGAAGCGAUUUUGGUGGGAGGGGGUGAGAGGAUGGGCAGGAUUUUCAGAGUCCCCUCAGAAGGCUUCUUCCUCCUCGCCGGAAAGACUGCGGACAGGCACACGUGAGGUUUCAGUGUUGCUACUAUCACUGCAGCAAUAAAUGCACCCGGUCCCCGUGCUCCAUUCUUCUCUCUCUUCUGGGGUGACGUGAUGAGAGCCAGGUGGAUGCUGUGCUCACACCUCGAGAGAAGAAGCCCAGAAUUAUGGAUCUGGAAGCGUAUAGAGGCUGCACACUGCUCACCUGCUGCUCUUUCUGAGGAGAGAGAGAAACCCUGCUCCCUGGUGUAAACAAGUGGAAAGUGGGUGAUCCUCCCAGGAAGCGAAGCGGAGGGUCCCGACCCUGCAUGCAAACGUGUGGCUCUGGGGAGAUGAGUUUUACUAUCCUUUGACCGGGAACACAUGGCUCCAGGUCUGACACCCUUGCAGUGUGAGAAACAGGUGACUCUGUGGAAGAGGAGACAUUCCGAGAUGCGCCGACUGGCUUUGCUCAGGAGACCAGCUGUCCAGAUGUGUGGAAAUAUUCGUGCAGCCUUGUUUCCCUGACGUUCUGCUGUGUGAAUGCAGGCAUUUGGUUCUCCCAUUCUCCUGUUGUUGGACAUUCAGGUUGUUGCUUACGACUGAGUUGUAAGAGGCCCCGUUGUAUUCGGGACACAAAUCCCUUGUCACAUACGUGUGCUGCAAAUAUUUUCUCUGAGUUCUUGGCUUGCCUUUUAAUUUUUCAAUGAUGUCUGCAAGAGCAAAAGUUUUUAAUUUUGACAAAGUCUCAUUUUUCAAUAUUUUUCCUUUGUGGUUGUGUUUUGGUGUCCCAUCUAAGAAAUUUUUGUGUAUCCCAAAGUUGAAAAUGUUUUCUCCUAGAAAUUUU